rnacentral:sRNA from 1 species
GCCAGGUGCAGUGGCGCAUGCCUGUAAUCCCAGCGGCUCAGGAGGCUGAGGCAGGAGGAUUGCGAGUUCAAACCCAGCCUCAG